GCAUUAAUGGGGUAGUGGUAACCUGGGUCGUUGCCAUUCGAGCGAUUUGAAAAGCUCGACCCGCCGGGGGUUCGAUUCCCUCUUAAUGCA